rnacentral:rRNA from 1 species
ACUCCUACGGGAGGCAGCAGUAGGGAAUAUUGGUCAAUGGGCGAAAGCCUGAACCAGCCAUGCCGCGUGUCAGAUGAAGGUCCUCUGGAUUGUAAAUGACUUUUCUACGGGAAGAAUGAGCCGUCUGCGGACGGAAGUUGACGGUACCGUAGGAAUAAGCACCGGCUAACUACGUGCCAGCAGCCGCGGUAAUACGUAGGGGUGCAAGCGUUGUCCGGAUUUACUGGGGUUUAAAGGGUACGUAGGCGGUUGUGCCAAGUCUGGGGUGAAAGUUUGCAGCUCAACUUGUAAAAAUUGCCUUGGAUACUGGUCGGCUAGAGUAGUGGAGCGGUGGCUGGAAUUUAUAGUGUAGCGGUGAAAUGGCUUAGAUACUAUGAGGAACACCAAUUGCGAAGGCAGGUCACUGGUCACGUAACUGACGCUGAGGUACGAAAGUGUGGGGAUCAAACAGGAUUAGAUACCCUGGUAGGAUAGCG